GGGGACGUCGGAAGGGGUCUCGUGGACGCAGCGAGCGACGAGGGCACGCUGCGAGGUCAUCGCGAGGUUUCGUGUCCUUCAGCUGAACAACAUGGCGACGCGUGUGCUGCAGAGAGCGUCAAGGGACGCUGUGGGCCCUGGUCUUGUAAGGCCCAGACCCGUAAGCGUGACUCAGCACCUGGCAAACAGUCCGCCACCGCAGGUGGCGAUAAAACCCCAGACAGGACCCCAGAAAAUCAACAUGUACCUGGAAUUCCUGAAUCAGCACGUGCACAUUGAAAAUGGGAUCACCGUCAGAACGUAAAUGAUCGGGUCAAAUCAUUUCGCUAAAGUGUAAGGACAAGGAACUGCGAUCAUCUUGCAACUUAAAGUAAGGAUCUGCAACCUACCAAUGAACUUGAGUUUCUUUAGAAAACAUCCAUCUGCAUAACUGAAAAUUAUAUCAGUUGUUUUAAGUUGCUCUGCGGCAAAUAGCAUACAUUUUAUAUUUGUAUGUCUUUUAAUAUAUGGAGGGCCAAUUCAGCUAUUUACUACUGGUAAUGCUGCUUAAUGCUACAGACAAGUGCUGCCUUUGAGACAUCUGAGAGCAAUGUCCACACUUUCCCUAUUUUCUCAUUUUUGUCAGUUUUUAUUUUUUUAUUUUCCUUGUUUUUUUUUUUUUUGAUGAUAACGUUUAUAUCCAGAGUUUUUGGCUUUGGUGCGUAUGAGGUCGGAUACACAGAAAUCCAUGUUCCCCUUUUCCCGCAUAAUUCCCAUCAUUUUCCCGAAAGGCGAGGCAAAGCAGUGAAUAUGGCCGACUGUAUUUUAGUCACGUGUCUACUGAACAAGCGACAAAAAACGGCUGCUCUCAUGGGGAAGAAGCGCAGGCUUUUAUGCAACAGUCCAGGAAGGAUUUUCAGUGUCGUAUCUCUGAAGUUAUCAAAGACCUUUGUCCAGUAACUGUUAGGGUCCUCUUGUGUUGGGGAGUACAGAAGUUAAAUUAACACACGUUCCUCAUUAACACUCCUAACUGUACUCCACGGUGAGGGUUCAGUGGGAAAGAAAGAAAGCUCACAGCCGUUUAAAGGGGAUUUAUUACACCUGUCCUUUUAAAAGAAAAGUACCCUUAAGCAGACAGGUAACUCGCGUUUGAUAAUGCCUGCUCUCUGCUUAGCAAAGUUGGUCAUGAACGUUUUACACACAACUGUUGGUCAUAACUGUUUAUACUUUAAUUCCUUAAUGUAGUGGUUUCUGAACUCAAUGCAUUUCACAGAAAAAAACCCUAUUUCACUUAACAGACUUACUGGCAAAUGGUGACAGUUUCUUCUUUAUUUUUUUAUUUGCAAUUCUGCAGAUCAGUAUUCUUAAGAUGUUUGGUUUCCCUUGUAGUGCAUGUCCCUCAAACGCAGUACAGUACUGCAUCAGUAAGACUCCAGAGAGCCUUUCUGAAAGAAAA